rnacentral:rRNA from 1 species
AGCGCAGGCGGGAAGACAAGUUGGAAGUGAAAUCUAUGGGCUCACCCCAUAAACUGCUUUCAAAACUGUUUUUCUUGAGUAGUGCAGAGGUAGGCGGAAUUCCCGGUGUAGCGGUGGAAUGCGUAGAUAUCGGGAGGAACACCAGUGGCGAAGGCGACCUACUGGGCACCAACUGACGCUGAGGCUCGAAAGCAUGGGUAGCAAACA